AUUGAACGCUGGCGGCAUGCCUUACACAUGCAAGUCGAACGGUAACGCGGGGCAACCUGGCGACGAGUGGCGAACGGGUGAGUAAUAUAUCGGAACGUGCCCAAUAGUGGGGGAUAGCCCGGCGAAAGCCGGAUUAAUACCGCAUACGACCUGAGGGUGAAAGCGGGGGAUCGCAAGACCUCGCGCUAUUGGAGCGGCCGAUAUCAGAUUAGGUAGUUGGUGGGGUAAAGGCCUACCAAGCCUACGAUCUGUAGCUGGUCUGAGAGGACGACCAGCCACACUGGGACUGAGACACGGCCCAGACUCCUACGGGAGGCAGCAGUGGGGAAUUUUGGACAAUGGGCGCAAGCCUGAUCCAGCCAUGCCGCGUGCGGGAAGAAGGCCUU
rnacentral:rRNA from 1 species